CGGCUGCUCAGUAACACGUGGACAACCUGCCCUCGGGUGGGGGAUAACCCCGGGAAACUGGGGCUAAUCCCCCAUAGGUGAUGGGUGCUGGAAUGCCCCAUCUCCGAAAGCGCUUAGCGCCCGAGGAUGGGUCUGCGGCGGAUUAGGUAGUUGGUGGGGUAACGGCCCACCAAGCCUAAGAUCCGUACGGGCUGUGGGAGCAGGAGCCCGGAGAUGGACCCUGAGACAAGGGUCCAGGCCCUACGGGGCGCAGCAGGCGCGAAACCUCCGCAAUGCGGGAAACCGCGACGGGGUUAGCCGGAGUGCCCGUGCAUUGCACGGGCUGUCGGGGUGCCUAAACAGCACCCCAUAGCAAGGGCCGGGCAAGGCCGGUGGCAGCCGCCGCGGUAAGACCGGCGGCCCGAGUGGCGGCCACUCUUAUUGGGCCUAAAGCGUCCGUAGCCGGCCCAGUAAGUCCCCCGGGAAAUCUGGUCGCUUAACGAUCAGACUUCCGGGGGAUACUGCUGGGCUAGGGACCGGGAGAGGCCGAGGGUAUUCCCGGGGUAGGGGUGAAAUCCUGUAAUCCCGGGAGGACCACCUGUGGCGAAGGCGCUCGGCUGGAACGGGUCCGACGGUGAGGGACGAAGGCCUGGGGAGCGAACCGGAUUAGAUACCCGGGUAGUCCAGGCUGUAAACGAUGCGGGCUAGGUGUCACCGGAGCUACGAGCUCCGGUGGUGCCGGAGGGAAGCCGUUAAGCCCGCCGCCUGGGAAGUACGGCCGCAAGGCUGAAACUUAAAGGAAGUGGCGGGGGAGCAG
rnacentral:rRNA from 1 species